GACGUAGGGCGCGAGCGUUGUCCGGAUUUAUUGGGCGUAAAGAGCUCGUAGGCGGCUUGUCGCGUCGUCCGUGAAAACCUGCAGCUCAACUGCAGGCUUGCGGUCGAUACGGGCAGGCUAGAGUUCGGUAGGGGAGACUGGAAUUCCUGGUGUAGCGGUGAAAUGCGCAGAUAUCAGGAGGAACACCGGUGGCGAAGGCGGGUCUCUGGGCCGAUACUGACGCUGAGGAGCGAAGGCUAGGGGAGCAAACGGG
rnacentral:rRNA from 1 species